UACGUAGGGGGCAAGCGUUGUCCGGAUUUACUGGGCGUAAAGCGCGCGUAGGCGGAGUGGGAAGUCCGGUGUGAAAGCCCCCGGCUCAACCGGGGAAGGUCGCUGGAAACUCCCACUCUUGAGGCGGAUAGAGGGAAGUGGAAUUGCUGGUGUAGCGGUGAAAUGCGUAGAUAUCAGCAGGAACACCCGUGGCGAAGGCGGCUUCCUGGAUCCGACCUGACGCUGAGGCGCGAAAGCGUGGGGAGCGAACGGGAUUAGAUACCCCCGUAGUCC
rnacentral:rRNA from 1 species